UUCUACAACAUCACCUUCAUCACCCUAAGUAGAUGGCUAACUUCCAAUUGCAGAGGCUGAAGAGACCCAUGUAGAACAAACACUAUUCCUAAGGCAAAACAAUGCAAUACCAUGAGGAAACCAGAUGCAAAUU